rnacentral:tRNA from 1 species
AAUCUUAUAGUUUAAUAAAAAUAUCAAAUUGCAAGUUUGAAGAUAAAUAAUAUUUUAAGAUUU